GAUCCACAUUUUUUUUUAUUAAUUCAUGUCAGCCCACAAACUCUUAUGAAAUUUUGUAGAUUUUUGACUUUUGAUUUUGUAGGUGUUAUGGUUUUUGGCAGCAGCCAUUUGUCCUCAUUCAUCAAAAAUUCAUCCACGUAUCACUCCACCAUUCACCACAUCCUAAGCCAAUCACCUUACAUGCAUUUUACUUUUCUGGAAUAAAAUUGACAUCUCAAACUCAUUCAUACCACUUUCACAGCAGACACAAUUCUUCCUUCUAUUUUCCUUACUUCCAAAAUUUCAAUCGAAACACAAAAAUCUCUUUUAACAAUAUCUACCUCAAAUCAAAUUCAGCCAUACACCAACAAAUCAAAAAACACAGCUUGUCCACUUAUUAGAAGGUUUUAGCACUGGUUUUACAAGAAGAGAAUUGUGCAAAAUUUAUCUACAGGCUUGUCCUAUCAAGGUUGAGCGGCAAGUGGUGUCGUGCGAGGCUGAGGGAGGAUGUUGCUGUAGUUCCAUAUAAUAAUUUCCGCUGCCAUAAUAUUCACUUAGGUGGAUAUCUUUUGAGACUGACUCUUUAAAUAUUCUUAGCCUAAUUAUUAUGAACUCUUUUGGCAAUCGCAUUCUAGCAAUUGAACCUCGCAUAUAUGUGUGUCUAGUAUGAAGUGUUAUCUUGUUGUCUCAGACCUCCGAACUUUUGAUUCUGGUUGGGAAAAUCUCUAUCCUAAUUGUUGUAUUUAUUAUCCUUCAAUUGCGGCACUCCUUUAUUAACAAUGUAUUACCCGAAUCGAAGAACAUAUCACCCAUUUUAUUCUAACAAAGUCUAGCAAUCCCAUUAAGUAGCCGUUUCUUA